UUGUUCAACGAUGAAGGGAUCUGAGACUUGUAAUACUGUUUACUGAUUUGAUAAUAUUCCUUGUUCCUUUGAUGGUUCAUUCCACUACAGCUGGUUCAUAUUCCCUACAACAGCCAGGAUAUUGGUCUGUUAACUUUAAGAUCUGAAGAAAAUGUAACAUAUUUUGGAUGUGCUUUGAGGAAUCAGGAAGGCAAGUGUUUCCUCUUGUUUAUGAAAGCAACUCUGUUGGUUAAGGGGCAGACAACUU
rnacentral:lncRNA from 1 species